rnacentral:rRNA from 1 species
UACGGAGGAUGCGAGCGUUAUCCGGAUUUAUUGGGUUUAAAGGGUGCGCAGGCGGCACGGCAAGCCGGCGGUCAAAUCGCGGGGCUCAACCCCGCCCAGCCGUCGGAACUGCCGGGCUAGAGUGGGCGAGAAGUGCGCGGAAUGCGUGGUGUAGCGGUGAAAUGCAUAGAUAUCACGCAGAACUCCGAUUGCGAAGGCAGCGCACCGGCGCCCUACUGACGCUCAGGCACGAAAGUGUGGGUAUCGAACAGG